rnacentral:rRNA from 1 species
GACGAACGCUGGCGGCGUGCUUAACACAUGCAAGUCGUACGGUAAGGCCCUUUCGGGGGUACACGAGUGGCGAACGGGUGAGUAACACGUGAGUAACCUGCCCACAACUUUGGGAUAACGCUAGGAAACUGGUGCUAAUACUGGAUAUGUUCUCCUGCUGCAUGGUGGGGGUUGGAAAGCUCCGGCGGUUGGAUGGACUCGCGGCCUAUCAGCUUGUUGGUGGGGUAGUGGCCUACCAAGGCGGCGACGGGUAGCCGGCCUGAGAGGGUGACCGGCCACAUUGGGACUGAGAUACGGCCCAGACUCCUACGGGAGGCAGCAGUGGGGAAUAUUGCACAAUGGGCGCAAGCCUGAUGCAGCAACGCCGCGUGCGGGAUGACGGCCUUCGGGUUGUAAACCGCUUUCAGCAGGGACGAAGCUUUUUGUGACGGUACCUGCAGAAGAAGCACCGGCUAACUACGUG